rnacentral:misc_RNA from 1 species
UUAUUAGUGAUAUAAUAACAUCUUUAUGGAUUUUUAAAUUGGUGUGACUACGAAAAACUCAAACUCAUAUGAAAAUAAGUUUAAUGGCCAUUAGAUUAAAUAUUUGCAUUCAGAUUCAAACAUUCAUUAUAUACACUUUAAUUAAUUUUGCACAAAGCUCAAUACAGAUAUUUGAUCUAAUGAUUAUUAAGCUUGUUCUUAUUUGAGGUUGAGCUUAUAUUAGAUGCACUCUUUUAAAAUAUAAUGAAAAUUGGAAAAAUUAAAAAACAAAGGGAAGGUGUGGGAGGGGGGAUCUCUAUGGAAAUGUAGGGAUUUUUGUCCCAUUGCUGGGUGGGGGCAAGGAAAGGAAUGGGGGGACGACUCCCUGUCCUCGCCUUACCCCAUUGACAUUCCUAAAUAGAUCUAACAACCCUACAAAGUAUGGACCUAAGAAAGCAGGAGUGGCCCAUUUACACUUUUACCCACCUUAGAAUUGAAGUGAGUUCUUAGGCUUCUACCAAUUCCUAUAUUUAUGAAAGAACAAUAGAAGGUAGUUUAAGGCAUAAUUUUUGACGAAGUAAAUUUCGA